GGCCCUAUAGCUCAGUGGUUAGAGCACACUGGUCUUGUAAACCAGGGGUCGCGAGUUCAAAUCUCGCUGGGGCCU